AGAGAGUUGGAUGAGUGGUUUAAGUCACCUCCCUGCUAAGGAGGCGUAUCAGUAAUGGUACCGAGGGUUCGAAUCCCUUGCUCUCUGCCA
rnacentral:tRNA from 1 species